AUGAUACAGUAUAUCCGUGAAAGUAAUGUGCUGUACCUGCUGCUUUCACAGAUAGUUUUUAAACAAGUACUGAAUAUAAAAAUGACGGCACAAGGUAAACACACUGGCUCUCAAAGGUGGGGCAGACGUUCAUGAGUGUGUUUGGAGGAUUAUGCAUGCACUGAUGACAAACUCCUUGGCGAAGAAUAUAAACAUGAGAGGAAUGAACGGAAAGAUUGGCUUCCUGGGCCUACAGAUACGAUAUGUUGUGAUUGCUGCUGUGAGGCAUAACCGUCUUGACGUCUGUGGUCUCGGACAAAGAGAUAGAAUCCACCAUCAAAAGAUGGCUACUUAUGGCCCCGGGUAGGGAUGGUGGCAGGAGAGAGAGGAUAAAAAGAAAAGAGUUUGUGGAGAGUUCGACAAGUUAACAGACUGAAACAUGGCAUGGACUUUCAGUAGUUGGGUGCAGUUCAGCUGGUUCAUGUACUGAAAUGGCACAGAUGUUCAAGAGUUUUGUGAGAAAAAAGGGAGAGGAUGGCACUGGAAAAGAGGAGAGGAAGAUUCACAAAGGACAUUUUUACAUCAGUUGCCCAUAAAUGACACCAGUUGAAAGUUGAAAAUUUCUUCCUGCUCAGAUCUUGAAUGUUUUGGGUGCACCUAUUGUAAACUCCUGAGUAAUUUGUAAAAAAAAAAAAAAAAACAAAAAAAGUUGAUAGUGUCACUUCUAAUAUGUUCCUAGUCUAUGAUGAUUAAAGUUUACUUAAAGGAUAGUUGGCACUGGAAAAGAGGAGAGGAAGAAAGAUUCAGAGGACAUUUUUACAUUUUUGUAAAUUGUCAUGUGUA